rnacentral:rRNA from 1 species
GGAAGAUGGGAGCUUGCUCCCUGAUGUUAGCGGCGGACGGGUGAGUAACACGUGGGUAACCUGCCUGUAAGACUGGGAUAACUCCGGGAAACCGGGGCUAAUACCGGAUGCUUGUUUGAACCGCAUGGUUCAAACAUAAAAGGUGGCUUCGGCUACCACUUACAGAUGGACCCGCGGCGCAUUAGCUAGUUGGUGAGGUAAUGGCUCACCAAGGCAACGAUGCGUAGCCGACCUGAGAGGGUGAUCGGCCACACUGGGACUGAGACACGGCCCAGACUCCUACGGGAGGCAGCAGUAGGGAAUCUUCCGCAAUGGACGAAAGUCUGACGGAGCAACGCCGCGUGAGUGAUGAAGGUUUUCGGAUCGUAAAGCUCUGUUGUUAGGGAAGAACAAGUGCCGUUCAAAUAGGGCGGCACCUUGACGGUACCUAACCAGAAAGCCACGGCUAACUACGUGCCAGCAGCCGCGGUAAUACGUAGGUGGCAAGCGUUGUCCGGAAUUAUUGGGCGUAAAGGGCUCGCAGGCGGUUUCUUAAGUCUGAUGUGAAAGCCCCCGGCUCAACCGGGGAGGGUCAUUGGAAACUGGGGAACUUGAGUGCAGAAGAGGAGAGUGGAA